UACGUAGGCAGCAAGCGUUGUUCGGAGUUACUGGGCGUAAAGGGUGCGUAGGCGGUCCUAUGAGUAUGGUGUGAAAUCUCCCGGCUUAACUGGGAGGGUGCGCUAUAGACUGUGGGACUAGAGUGUGGGAGAGGAAAGUGGAAUUCCUGGUGUAGCGGUGAAAUGCGUAGAUAUCAGGAGGAACACCGGUGGUGUAAACGGCUUUCUGGACCAUAACUGACGCUGAGGCACGAAAGCGUGGGUAGCAAACAGG
rnacentral:rRNA from 1 species